rnacentral:rRNA from 1 species
AUUGAACGCUGGCGGCAGGCUUAACACAUGCAAGUCGAGCGGAGAGAGGUAGCUUGCUACUGAUCUUAGCGGCGGACGGGUGAGUAAUGCUUAGGAAUCUGCCUAUUAGUGGGGGACAACAUUUCGAAAGGAAUGCUAAUACCGCAUACGUCCGACGGGAGAAAGCAGGGGAUCUUCGGGCCUUGCGCUCAUAGAUGAGCCUAAGUCGGAUUAGCUAGUUGGUGGGGUAAAGGCCUACCAAGGUGACGAUCUGUAGCGGGUCUGAGAGGAUGAUCCGCCACACUGGGACUGAGACACGGCCCAGACUCCUACGGGAGGCAGCAGUGGGGAAUAUUGGACAAUGGGCGGAAGCCUGAUCCAGCCAUGCCGCGUGUGUGAAGAAGGCCUUAUGGUUGUAAAGCACUUUAAGCGAGGAGGAGGCUACUUUAGUUAAUACCUAGAGAUAGUGGACGUUACUCGCAGAAUAAGCACCGGCUAACUCUGUGCCAGCCGCCGCCGUAAAAC